rnacentral:tRNA from 1 species
UUCUACAUGGUCUAGUGGUUAGGAUUGCUGGCUUUCACCCAGGCGGCGCGGGUUCAAUUCCCGGUGUAGAAA